CUACGGGCUGCUGCAGUGGGGAAUAUUGCACAAUGGGCGAAAGCCUGAUGCAGCAACGCCGCGUGAGGGACGACGGCCUUCGGGUUGUAAACCUCUUUUAGCAGGGAAGAAGCGAAAGUGACGGUACCUGCAGAAAAAGCACCGGCUAACUACGUGCCAGCAGCCGCGGUAAUACGUAGGGUGCAAGCGUUGUCCGGAAUUAUUGGGCGUAAAGAGCUCGUAGGCGGUUUGUCGCGUCUGCUGUGAAAAUCCGAGGCUCAACCUCGGACCUGCAGUGGGUACGGGCAAACUAGAGUGCGGUAGGGGAGAUUGGAAUUCCUGGUGUAGCGGUGGAAUGCGCAGAUAUCAGGAGGAACACCAAUGGCGAAGGCAGAUCUCUGGGCCAUAACUGACGCUGAGGAGCGAAAGCGUGGGGAGCGAACAGGAUUAGAUACCCGUGUAGUC
rnacentral:rRNA from 1 species